ensembl:lncRNA
GGUUGAGGGUAGAGGAAGGACAUCAGUAAUAGAUGGUUGAGGGUAGAGGAAGGACAUCAGUAAUAGAUGGGAGAGGUUGAGGGUAGAGGAAGGACAUCAGUAAUAGAUGGUUGAGGGUAGAGGAAGGACAUCAGUAAUAGAUGGUUGAGGAUAGAGGAAGGACAUCAGUAAUAGAUGGGAGAGGGUAGAGGAAGGACAUCCAUAAUAGAUGAGAGAGGUUGAGGGUAGAGGAAGGACAUCAGUAAUAGAUGAGAGAGGUUGAGGGUAGAGGAAGGACAUCAGUAAUAGAUGAGAGAGGUUGAGGGUAGAGGAAGGAGAUCAGAAAUAGAUGGGAGAGGUUGAGGGUAGAGGAAGGACAUCAGUAAUAGAUGGGAGAGGUUGAGGGUAGAGGAAGGACAUCAGAAAUAGAUGGGAGAGAUUGAGGGUAGAGGAAGGACAUCAGUAAUAUAUGGGAGAGGGUAG